rnacentral:rRNA from 1 species
UACAGAGGUCUCAAGCGUUUGUUCGGAUUCAUUGGGCGUAAAGGGUGCGUAGGCGGCGCGGUAAGUCGGGUGUGAAAUUUCGAGGCUUAACUUCGAAACUGCAUUCGAUACUGCCGUGCUUGGAGGACUGGAGAGGAGACUAGGAAUUUACGGUGUAGCGGUGAAAUGCGUAGAUAUCGAUUUGGAACGCCAAUGGUGAAAACAGGUCGCUGGGAGUGCGGCUGACGCUGAGACACGAAAGCCAGGGGAGGCAAACGGG